rnacentral:rRNA from 1 species
AGUGAACGCUGGCGGUAGGCCUAACACAUGCAAGUCGAACGGCAGCACAGGAGAGCUUGCUCUCUGGGUGGCGAGUGGCGGACGGGUGAGGAAUACAUCGGAAUCUGCCCAGUCGUGGGGGAUAACGUAGGGAAACUUACGCUAAUACCGCAUACGACCUUCGGGUGAAAGAGGGGGAUCGCAAGACCUCUCGCGAUUGGAUGAGCCGAUGUCGGAUUAGCUAGUUGGCGGGGUAAUGGCCCACCAAGGCGACGAUCCGUAGCUGGUCUGAAAGGAUGAUCAGCCACACUGGAACUGAGACACGGUCCAGACUCCUACGGGAGGCAGCAGUGGGGAAUAUUGGACAAUGGGCGCAAGCCUGAUCCAGCCAUACCGCGUGGGUGAAGAAGGCCUUCGGGUUGUAAAGCCCUUUUGUUGGGAAAGAAAUCUUUCAGGCUAAUACCCUGGGAGGAUGACGGUACCCAAAGAAUAAGCACCGGCUAACUUCGUG